AUGCAAAUAAAAAAGUGCCUGCAAUCUGUUUUUCACCUUUUUUGAGAAAUCCCGGGGAACUGGGUAUAAUACUAUGUAUACUUUUAUCAACAUAUAUUGAAACUCUCUACAAAAAAAGGGAAGGAGACCAACUUUCUGGAUAGUCUCAUGUGCUGCAACGAGAGGAAACAUGUGACAGACAUAGCGCUGUAUUUCACAACACCACACGGUGGAGUUCCUCUGCUUUACCAAUGUGCUGACGGUCGGACUGGGAAUGCUGAACCCAUGAUUAAUGCUUUUUCAUGUCUGUGGCACCAAACAGAAGCAACACGUGGUUGAAUGUUGGUACAACAGCAACAAUCCACAAAGUAUGGGAAUCAACCUUCAAAAGAAGAUGAUGGCACCGCGACAAUUCAACACAAAAUUGGGCAGGUGGGACUGAGGAAUAAUCAAGCUCUUACAAAGCCUGUGAGCAAUGACAUCACCAACUGACAACGCAUGACGAUACUUGGACCUAUAGUACACAUCCCGUUGAAUUCAUAUUCCAUUGACUGUGUGAUGACUCAAAGCCUCAUACUGAACAAAGAAAAACACGGAUUUCACGCCGUCAGCUUCCUUUAACUACGACACAGACAGGAAGGACGGGAAACACACUAUUGUACCAGAGAGCAGCAACGCAGUAAGCACAACUACAGCAUCAUGGAAUAAUGCACCGGACAAUUGAGACAUACAAAAGAAGUUGUUUUUAAAACAAACUUAGAAAGUGUAAAAAAAGAAAAGGCACUUCUCGUAAAUGACUUUCCCUGUCCUCUUGAUUUUAAAAGGAAAUGGAAAAACAGUUGUUAAGAGAUAAUAGGGAAUCUGACCUCUGGUUCAGUAGGCAAGACAAAGGGAGGAUCACAUAUUCCCAAAAUGCGAGACUCAUUCUUUUCAUAUUUGUCAUACAAGAGUCAUUGUUAUUAGGAAUGUUUAUGAAAACAUCAGCUUUUACAUAAUAAAAACCCUCAUAGAUAACAAACAGCAUAACUAUUGUUCAUAUUACUCAAUAUGCACAAUAUACAGCAUGUAUAGGGGAGAAUAUGCACUGUACAUACAGAAGUGUAGGCCGCUUAUACUUUAAUAUCUGUCCUGGACAUAAUACGAUACGAACAUAUGCUGAUGCAGUUUAACUAUGUACAAUCAGUUUAAAUAAAUAUAUAACAUGUUUUGGUUUUCUACUAGUACUUUGUGUACAUAUCUGCUGCUACUUGAAGGAGGAACAACUCAAUAAAACAUUUUUCACAAAAA